CAUGAUGGUUUUUGCGGAUUAUCAAUAUCCAAUUGAUUAUCCUAUGACCAUGAACAAUUUAGGAUGUAGACAUAGUACAUAAAGGUCUCCUAAACUUAACUUCUUUAAGUCACUUUCUACUUCUCAAGAUCUAUGAACUUGUUAGUUAAGUAAAUGACAAAGAUUAUUACUCAAAAUAACAUAAUGCCCUUCAUUAAUUAGGUGAAAUAUCCCUAGAGUUUACAUCUCAUGAUU
rnacentral:lncRNA from 1 species